UGCGGUAGUAACCGGUGAUUCUUUUUGUUCCAUCUUCCAUGCUUCAAUUUGAAAGUUUUCCCAUUUCAAUUCUCUCUCACACCGCUUUAGAAACUUUCCUAAACCCUGCUCUCCAUUUUCCCUUGUCUCUUCCUUUCUCUCUCUACAAAGAGUGUGUGUGAGAGAGAGAAGGAUUUGGAAUUUUGGAUAACUAGAGCGAAAGCGUGACACCACCAAAAACCGAACUGUUCCCAGAUCUCUCUCUCUCUCUCUCUCUUCCAACAAUCCAAAUCCAAAUCCAAAACCCUACCAACACCACACUCAAUCGAUCGAUGGGGCAGAAGUCUCUGAUCUACGCGUUCGUGUCGCGGGGAACUGUGAUUCUCGCGGAGUACACGGAAUUCAGCGGAAACUUCAACUCCAUCGCCUUCCAGUGCCUUCAGAAGCUCCCUGCCACCAACAACAAGUUCACCUACAACUGCGACGCACACACCUUCAAUUACCUCGUCGACAAUGGCUACACAUAUUGUGUUGUUGCAGAUGAAUCAAUUGGAAGACAGUUACCCAUGGCUUUUCUAGAGCGUGUCAAAGAUGAAUUUGUGGCAAAAUAUGGUGGUGGAAAGGCUGCCACUGCUCCUGUGAACAGCCUUAACAAGGAAUUUGGGCCAAAGUUGAGGGAACAUAUGCAGUACUGUGUUGAUCAUCCUGAAGAGAUAAGCAAGCUUGCAAAGGUGAAAGCUCAAGUUUCUGAAGUUAAGGGUGUCAUGAUGGAGAAUAUUGAAAAGGUUCUAGACAGGGGUGACAAGAUAGAGCUUCUGGUGGACAAGACUGAGAACCUUCAUAACCAGGCACAAGAUUUCAGAACUUCUGGAACCAGAAUCCGUCGAAAAAUGUGGCUGCAAAACAUGAAGAUUAAGCUGAUUGUAUUGGGAAUAUUGAUAGCACUUAUCCUGAUAAUAGUCCUAUCUGUAUGUCGUGGGUUCAACUGUGGAAAAUAAGCCAUUCACCGAGGCCUUUUAUAAUGUUAUUUCAGCCUUUUAUCGGAGGAAAGAUACUAAUCUAUGGCAUGAGUUUGUAUGUAAUAUAGAUAUAGAUAUAGUAAAGGUCGUAUGUUGGUCACUUUGUUCUACUUAUAAAUGCUUUUGAAAAUAUAAUUUGGGUUCUCAAUUUGAAGUUCAAAUUCCAGUUUAUUUAUAGGCAAGAAUCAUGUAAAUGUGUUUCUUGAUGUUAUUCAAUUUUUGCAUUGUCGA